CAUCCACACACCUCCCGCCCGCCUGCUCUACGGGAAGCCGAGGAGCCACAGGUCCAACAACUCGGCUCCCGCCCUCGCCGGUCAUCGCAUUGGAAGGCUACUCCUCGCUCUCCGGCUGCCCCAGGAAGAGACUGAAGCGCAGAGUUCCAGGGCCCGAAACAGGAGGUGGUGCGGAGCUAAGCAGCGGGAAUCCGAUGCCUUGGGAUUUGAAAGGGAGAGGCAGCAGCAGUGCCACCGUGGAGGAUCCCCUUACAAAAAUAAAGAGAAAGAGAACCUCA